rnacentral:lncRNA from 1 species
UUUUUUUUUAAUGAAUAGAUAGAGCCAUGAUACAUUCCGGAAUAUUGUAUAAAGCAACCCCGUCUUUUUUUCGUCUAAAUGAUAAAGUGGAUUUCUUUUUCUGCUGUUUCAAAAAACUCCAUUCUAUUUUUUCUGAUGAUGCUUUUGAAAAAUGAACUUCAUUGAUUGAUUCAGAACACCUCUUCCUUGAUCUUGAUAGUAUCCAUGGGUACUUUCUAAGUUAGAACAAAAACAAAGGGGGAAUCGCUCAAUUUCCUGGAUUAUAUAUACUAUAUAUACUAAUAUUUCUGUAGAUUCGAUAUCGUACAAAUACUUUCUAUACUCUUACUUUUUUUUACUAUCUCAGAAAAAUUGAAAUUUUUGAUAAAUUCAUUGAAUAAGUUUUAUUUUAUGUUUGUCCACUAUUUUAUUGUACGUAAUAAAUCGAAAAAAAGUUCUGAUACAUCUGUAAAACCGAAACUAAGACUAGGAAUUUUUGGCGAACAGGAUCACAAAUCAUUACUCUUUCGACACAAGAAAAGGAAUUUGCUACACCCCUUUCUUGUGUCGAAGACUAGGAAGACACAUAAUGCACCCUAGAAUUUUUUGUUCCCCGCAUUUAUAAUUCUUUUUAUUACCCGUUUACUUAUGCUAAUAUCUAUCCCAAUUUGAUUCUGUUUCAAAUAGAAUCAAAUGGAUACAUUUUAUGACAUUGAAAUCUGGAAAUAGUAACAUAGUUGUAACAAUUCAAUUUGGCUAAAAAAACAAAGAAAGGGGUGGUAAAGUCAUAAAGUCAAAUAAAAAAGUCUUCUUCAAACAAAAAGCUACCUAUUCUGACUAGGAAUGCGGUACAAGGGAUUCCCCGAAGUUCGUAGAAAAAGAGGAAUUAAAUAAACGGUUUUUCC